UCUCCUUUCAACUUCACCAAAAUUCCCCAAAUCAAAACUCAACCCUAGCUCCUUCAAUCUCCCUCUUCCUUCGUCGACACCACAGCCCUCCUGGUCAAAUCCCGGCAACAACGAGCCGCCGCCACCACCGACGACUGCAGUGGGUCGAAGCAGCCUAGCAGGCGCCGUCGAUGGCCUGGUGGAGUCAGCACGGCACCGCGGCCGUCGCCGCUAUCCUGGUGAUCUUGUCGCAGGACUCCCUCCACCGGCUCCUCUCGUCGCUGCCCCCACCGCGAGGCAGCCUCGUCGUCCUCCGUCGCUCGCACAGCCGCUGCCGGAGUCAGCGGCUUUCGCCGUCGUCGCUGAUUGAACGACCCUAUCUGUAGGGCUCCGUCGCCUCGGAGUCACAGUGGAGCCCGCACAGCAGUCUUCGGAGCUCCGCCGUUGCUGUUCGCAGGAGGUUAGGCUGGACACGGUGUGGUCAGUUGCCGAUGCUACACGCCGGGGAUCGCCUGCGGUCUCGGCUCGCCACCGCUCCCGACACCCCGCCAUCGGGUCGCUGCCCCUCGUCCAGCGUUUCCGCCUCCGUCACUCCUAUAAAGCUAAGCCUUCUAUCCUAGCUCGCUUCCAGCUAUCCCUCUUUGGCAGUAGCUAUGGAGUAGUUAUUUGUGGAGGGACUGAGCAUGUGGUAGUUGUUUCUAUGUUACUGAUUUUUGUUAUGAUAUGGGGUUCCAGGACAUAUUCCUAUGUUCUUGAGUUUCUGCCCCUAAGUUCUCAUGCUUUAGCUAUUUGUGUGCUAUAUGAUGCAACUGAGUUGUUGGGAGAUUACCUGAUGUGUGUUGAUUUUGGCUGCUAUCUCAAGCUCGGUUCCUCGUCUCCCUCACUCCUCUUGCUGCCUCGGUCCCUCUCUGCCUUACUUCACUAUCUUGUGAUUGGUUUUGUGAUGAGGAAGGCAGAGGCUGAGGCCUUAUUUAUUAUUUGUGGCCUAACCGAAAGCCUGAGAAAGGCUGUUAUCUCUGGCUGGGGGGCAGUCCUUGCUUAGCUGAUUUGGCUGUUACCUCUGCAGCAUUCUUUAACUGAUUUUGGUGGCAUAUGGAGGUGUACUCGUGAGUUAUGUGAGCUGCUGGGUUUCUAUCAUGAAUCUGCAGCACUUUAACCGUUUUUGGCUUCAUGUGUAGGUCUAGUACUUGGUUAUUUAUUGCCUCUGUUGGUCCAUGGCAGGUGCGCACAGGAUAUGGCAGAGUAUGUGGCUGUUUCCUCGACCAUAGGAGAGAUACGAGCUGCCAUCUGCAGCCUUGAAAUGCUGCAGCUUGAAGGGGGACUUGGCUGGCUGAUCUUGCCCUUCUCGGCCCAACCUUCACCCACUUUUCUGAAAGGAGUUGCGGCUGGCCAACGAGGCAUGUCUUCCCUCGUGUCCUCGCCCUUCCAGCUCGUUUGAAAAUCUGUGGCCGAGACUCUCGUUGAUGGCCGAGGAAGUCCAUUAUGAACUCUCGGUUGUAGUAGUUUGUUUUAAACCCUUCUUUUUAUCUCAACACAUGUAAUAUAUACUAGUUGUCGGGUCUCGAUUCAUUUAUUCUCAUCGUCGGAGGUGGUAAUUAUUAGUUUGAGAUUCUGGGAAAAAAAAUAUUGUAACUGUACCCUUUUUCAAGAAAUAAAAAUACUCAUUCAUACUUUAAUAAAA